rnacentral:rRNA from 1 species
UACGUAGGGUGCGAGCGUUGUCCGGAAUUAUUGGGCGUAAAGGGCUCGUAGGCGGUCUGUCACGUCGGGAGUGAAAACUCGGGGCUUAACCCCGAGCCUGCUUCCGAUACGGGCAGACUAGAGGUAUGCAGGGGAGAAUGGAAUUCCUGGUGUAGCGGUGAAAUGCGCAGAUAUCAGGAGGAACACCGGUGGCGAAGGCGGUUCUCUGGGCAUUACCUGACGCUGAGGAGCGAAAGUGUGGGGAGCGAACAGG